rnacentral:rRNA from 1 species
AACGAACGCUGGCGGCAUGCCUAACACAUGCAAGUCGAACGAAGGCUUCGGCCUUAUUGGCGCACGGCUUCGUAACGCGUGGGAAUCUUCCCUUUGGUUCGGAAUAACAGCUGGAAACGGCUGCUAAUACCGGAUGAUGACUAAAGUCCAAAGAUUUAUCGCCCGAGGAUGAGCCCUCGUUGGAUUAGGUAGUUGGUGGGGUAAAGGCCUACAAAGCCGACGAUCCAUAGCUGGUAUGAGAGGAUGAUCAGCCACACUGGGACUGGGACACGGCCCAGACUCUUCCGGGAGGGAGCAGUGGGGAAUGUUGGACAACGGGCGCAAGCCUGAUCCAGCAAUGCCGCGUGAGUGAUGAAGGCGCGAGGGUUGAAAAGCUCUUUUACCCGGGAAGAUAUUGACGGUACCGGAGAAUAAGCCCCGGCUAACUCCGUG